rnacentral:rRNA from 1 species
AUUGAACGCUGGCGGCAUGCCUUACACAUGCAAGUCGAACGGUAGCAGGUCUUCGGAUGCUGACGAGUGGCGAACGGGUGAGUAAUGCAUCGGAACGUGCCCAGUAGUGGGGGAUAGCCCGGCGAAAGCCGGAUUAAUACCGCAUACGACCUGAGGGUGAAAGGGGGGGAUCGCAAGACCUCUCGCUAUUGGAGCGGCCGAUGUCAGAUUAGCUAGUUGGUGGGGUAAAGGCCUACCAAGGCAACGAUCUGUAGUUGGUCUGAGAGGACGACCAGCCACACUGGGACUGAGACACGGCCCAGACUCCUACGGGAGGCAGCAGUGGGGAAUUUUGGACAAUGGGCGCAAGCCUGAUCCAGCAAUGCCGCGUGCAGGAAGAAGGCCUUCGGGUUGUAAACUGCUUUUGUCAGGGAAGAAAUCUUCUGGGUUAAUACCUCGGGAGGAUGACGGUACCUGAAGAAUAAGCACCGGCUAACUACGUGCCAGCCGCCGCCGUAACAC